UAUUGAAGUAUGUGUGGCCUUGUUGGAGGAAGUGUGUCACUGUGGCACGGUAGGCUUUGAGGUCUCCUAUGCUCAAGCUAUGCCCAGUAUGGCAGGCACUCCGUUUCCUUCUGCUGCCUGUGGAUCAAGAUGUAGAACUCUUAGCUUCUUCUCCAGCACCACGUUUGCCUGCACACUGCAGUGUUUCCUGCUGUGAUAAUAGACUAAACUUCUGAAAAUGUUAUUCCACGGACCAAAUGGUGGAUGUCCAGGACCCUGCAAGCAAGUUUCCUGCAUCUCGAGACUGCUUUCCAACCCCAGUAGACUGAGCACCUCACCCUCUCCUGCCACACUGAACCUUUAGAGUUACAGAAAACAUAACGGCUGAUGCCGUCCAUGAAUUCUAGGCACAGGUGUUCGCACUGUCCCUGUGAACCAGUUCGGUACAGCACUUUGGCUACCCUGGUCAACUUGAUAAGCUGCCCGCAACUC
rnacentral:lncRNA from 1 species